rnacentral:rRNA from 1 species
CGAACGGGUGAGUAAUGCGUGACCAACCUGCCCCAUGCUCCAGAAUAGCUCUUGGAAACGGGUGGUAAUGCUGGAUGCUCCAACUUGACGCAUGUCUUGUUGGGAAAGUGUUUAGUGGCAUGGGAUGGGGUCGCGUCCUAUCAGCUUGUAGGCGGGGUAAUGGCCCACCUAGGCUUCGACGGGUAGCCGGCCUGAGAGGGCGGACGGCCACAUUGGGACUGAGAUACGGCCCAGACUCCUACGGGAGGCAGGAGGC